rnacentral:rRNA from 1 species
UACAGAGGGUGCGAGCGUUGUUCGGAAUUACUGGGCGUAAAGCGCGUGUAGGCUGCUCAGAAAGUCGGAUGUGAAAGCCCUGGGCUUAACCUGGGAAGUGCAUUCGAAACUUCUGAGCUUGAGUUCUGGAGAGGAAGGCGGAAUUCUCGGUGUAGAGGUGAAAUUCGUAGAUAUCGAGAGGAACACCGGUGGCGAAGGCGGCCUUCUGGACAGUGACUGACGCUGAGACGCGAAAGCGUGGGGAGCAAACAGG